AACAGCUGGGUGCGGGUGGAGCUGCGGGCGAUCGCCAGCUCGAGUGCAGAUUCCUUGCUGUGACCGAGGUUCAGAGUGAGCUCUGUCGGUGUGUCAGUUUGCCUCUUCAGGCACUCUUCAAUGAAACCUCAUCAGCAGAUCGGGCUCUCUUCCCUUGGCUUGCCUCCUAACCCCCCUAGGCCAGCAAAGAACAGCCCUUGGUCUGCCAGCAGAAACAGAGGCAGAUCGUGAAGCCAGUGACUGAGUCAGGGCAGCGCACGGUGCUGGAACUCCUGCUAGCUGAGCUCCGAACUCUGUUCUCAGCUGUGUUGCAGGACAGUAGCCCUGCAGCUUGGCGCUAUCUGCAUGCAGUACUGGGUCUACUGCCUCCAUAUCGUGAGUUGCUAGUUGGCCACCUUGAUUUGCUGCCCUUCCUGGAGCAGCUGUACUGCUGGGCACCCUGGGUCCAAACCCACCUCCAUCUGGACCUGCUAGGUGCCAUUGUCCAGGCCUUUCCUCCAGACAGCUCUUUGUUAGACAGUGCUUCCCAUGCUGACUGCUGUCCCCAGAAGCGGAGGCUCCAUCAC
rnacentral:sRNA from 1 species